rnacentral:rRNA from 1 species
UACGUAGGGGGCAAGCGUUGUCCGGAAUCAUUGGGCGUAAAGAGCGUGUAGGCGGCUUGGCAAGUCUGACGUGAAAUCCCGCGGCUCAACCGCGGUAGGUCGUUGGAAACUGCCUCGCUAGAGUCCGGAAGAGGAGAGCGGAAUUCCUGGUGUAGCGGCGGAAUGCGCAGAUAUCAGGAAGAACACCCGUGGCGAAGGCGGCUCUCUGGGACGGUACUGACGCUGAGACGCGAAAGCGUGGGGAGCGAACAGG